CUACGGGAGGCAGCAGUGAGGAAUAUUGCACAAUGGGGGGAACCCUGAUGCAGCAACGCCGCGUGGAGGAUGACGCAUUUCGGUGUGUAAACUCCUUUUAUAUGUCAAGAAAAUGACGGUAGCAUAUGAAUAAGCACCGGCUAACUCCGUGCCAGCAGCCGCGGUAAUACGGAGGGUGCAAGCGUUACUCGGAAUCACUGGGCGUAAAGGACGCGUAGGCGGGUUGGAAAGUCAGGUGUGAAAUACUACAGCUUAACUGUAGAACUGCACUUGAAACUUCUAAUCUAGAGUAUGGGAGGGGGAGAUGGAAUUAGUGGUGUAGGGGUAAAAUCCGUAGAUAUCACUAGGAAUACCGAAAGCGAAGGCGAUCUCCUGGAACAUUACUGACGCUAAGGCGUGAAAGCGUGGGGAGCAAACAGGAUUAGAUACCCGGGUAGUC
rnacentral:rRNA from 1 species